rnacentral:antisense_RNA from 1 species
CUUGAGGGAGCCGAGCCACAGGGGCCGGUCCGGGGGGCGCUCCCUGCCGUAGGUCGCCAGCAGGGCCUGGGCCUC